rnacentral:rRNA from 1 species
UGGGGAAUAUUGCGCAAUGGACGAAAGUCUGACGCAGCGACGCCGCGUGUGGGAUGACGGUCUUCGGAUUGUAAACCACUGUCGGGAGGGACGAAUACGCCGCAAGGCGGGUGACGGUACCUCCAAAGGAAGCACCGGCUAACUCCGUGCCAGCAGCCGCGGUAAUACGGAGGGUGCGAGCGUUGUCCGGAAUCACUGGGCGUAAAGGGCGCGUAGGCGGCCUGAUAAGUAGGGGGUGAAAUCUUGCGGCUUAACCGCAAGGCUGCCUUCUAAACUGUCGGGCUGGAGCACAGUAGAGGCAGGUGGAAUUCCCGGUGUGGCGGUGGAAUGCGUAGAGAUCGGGAAGAACAUCAGGGGCGAAGGCGGCCUGCUGGGCUGUUGCUGACGCUGGGGCGCGACAGCGUGGGGAGCAAACGGG